rnacentral:rRNA from 1 species
GUUGUAUAGUUAAGUGACUAAGCGUACAAGGUGGAUGCCUUGGCAAUCAGAGGCGAAGAAGGACGUGCUAAUCUGCGAAAAGCUUGGAUGAGUCGAUAAGAGGCGUUUAAUCCAAGAUAUCCGAAUGGGGAAACCCAGUAGAUGAAGAAUCUACUAUCAACAAGUGAAUACAUAGCUUGUUGAGGCAAACCGGGAGAACUGAAACAUCUAAGUACCCCGAGGAAAAGAAAUCAACCGAGAUUUCGUCAGUAGCGGCGAGCGAAAGCGAAAGAGCCAGUAAGUGAUAACAGUAUGGUUAGGAGAAUGUGUUGGGAAGCACAAUCAAAGAGGGUGAUAAUCCCGUAUCUAAAAACCAUAUUGUGGUACUAAGCUAACGAGAAGUAGGGCGGGACACGUGAUAUCCUGUUUGAAGAAGGGGGGACCAUCCUCCAAGGCUAAAUACUCCUGAUUGACCGAUAGUGAACCAGUACUGUGAAGGAAAGGCGAAAAGAACCCCGGUGAGGGGAGUGAAAUAGAACCUGAAACCUUGUACGUACAAGCAGUGGGAGCCCGAAAGGGUGACUGCGUACCUUUUGUAUAAUGGGUCAGCGACUUAUAUUUUGUAGCGAGGUUAACCGAAUAGGGGAGCCGAAGGGAAACCGAGUCUUAACUGGGCGACGAGUUGCAAGGUAUAGACCCGAAACCCGGUGAUCUAGCCAUGGGCAGGUUGAAGGUUGGGUAACACUAACUGGAGGACCGAACCGACUAAUGUUGAAAAAUUAGCGGAUGACUUGUGGCUGGGGGUGAAAGGCCAAUCAAACCGGGAGAUAGCUGGUUCUCCCCGAAAUCUAUUUAGGUAGAGCCUUGAGGUGACACCUUUGGGGGUAGAGCACUGUUUCGGCUAGGGGUCCAUCCCGGAUUACCAACCCGAUGCAAACUACGAAUACCAAAGAGUGAUACUCAGGAGACACACGGCGGGUGCUAACGUCCGUCGUGGAGAGGGAAACAACCCAGACCGCCAGCUAAGGUCCCAAAGUCUAUAUUAAGUGGGAAACGAAGUGGGAAGGCUUAGACAGCUAGGAUGUUGGCUUAGAAGCAGCCAUCAUUUAAAGAAAGCGUAAUAGCUCACUAGUCGAGUCGGCCUGCGCGGAAGAUGUAACGGGGCUGAAAUAUAGCACCGAAGCUGCGGCAUCAGACGAAAGUCUGUUGGGUAGGGGAGCGUUGUGUAAGCGGAUGAAGGUUAAUCGAGAGGUUGGCUGGACGUAUCACAAGUGCGAAUGCUGACAUAAGUAACGAUAAAACGGGUGAAAAACCCGUUCGCCGGAAGACCAAGGGUUCCUGUCCAACGUUAAUCGGGGCAGGGUGAGUCGGCCCCUAAGGCGAGGCUGAAAAGCGUAGUCGAUGGGAAACAGGUUAAUAUUCCUGUACUUGGUAAAGCUGCGAUGUGGGGACGGAGUAGGUUAGGUUAGCGUGCUGUUGGAUAUGCACGUUUAAGUUGGUAGGUGGGAAGUUUAGGCAAAUCCGGACUUCCUUAACACUGAGAGAUGAUGACGAGGCUCUACGGAGCUGAAGUAACUGAUACCACACUUCCAGGAAAAGCCACUAAGCGACAGGCUUUACUAAACCGUACUGAAAACCGACACAGGUGGUCAGGUAGAGAAUACUCAGGCGCUUGAGAGAACUCGGGUGAAGGAACUAGGCAAAAUAGCACCGUAACUUCGGGAGAAGGUGCGCCGGCGUAGAUUGUAAGGGCUAGCCCCUGAAGGUUGAACCGGUCGAAGAUACCAGCUGGCUGCAACUGUUUAUUAAAAACACAGCACUCUGCAAACACGAAAGUGGACGUAUAGGGUGUGAUGCCUGCCCGGUGCUGGAAGGUUAAUUGAUGGUGUAAUCGAAAGAGAAGCACCUGAUCGAAGCCCCAGUAAACGGCGGCCGUAACUAUAACGGUCCUAAGGUAGCGAAAUUCCUUGUCGGGUAAGUUCCGACCUGCACGAAUGGCAUAAUGAUGGCCAGGCUGUCUCCACCCGAGACUCAGUGAAAUUGAAAUCGCCGUGAAGAUGCGGUGUACCCGCGGCUAGACGGAAAGACCCCGUGAACCUUUACUAUAGCUUGACACUGAACAUUGAAUUUUGAUGUGUAGGAUAGGUGGGAGACUUAGAAGUAGGAACGCCAGUUUCUAUGGAGUCAUCCUUGAAAUACCACCCUUUAACGUUUGAUGUUCUAACGAAGAUUACGAAACGUGGUCUCGGACAGUGUCUGGUGGGUAGUUUGACUGGGGCGGUCUCCUCCCAAAGCGUAACGGAGGAGCACGAAGGUUUGCUAAUCACGGUCGGACAUCGUGAGGUUAGUGUAAUGGUAUAAGCAAGCUUAACUGCGAGACAGACAAGUCGAGCAGGUACGAAAGUAGGUCAUAGUGAUCCGGUGGUUCUGAAUGGAAGGGCCAUCGCUCAACGGAUAAAAGGUACUCCGGGGAUAACAGGCUGAUACCGCCCAAGAGUUCAUAUCGACGGCGGUGUUUGGCACCUCGAUGUCGGCUCAUCACAUCCUGGGGCUGAAGUAGGUCCCAAGGGUAUGGCUGUUCGCCAUUUAAAGUGGUACGCGAGCUGGGUUUAGAACGUCGUGAGACAGUUCGGUCCCUAUCUGCCGUGGGCGUUGGAGAAUUGGUUGGGGCUGCUCCUAGUACGAGAGGACCGGAGUGGACGCACCACUGGUGUUCCGGUUGUGUCGCCAGACGCAUUGCCGGGUAGCUAAGUGCGGAAGAGAUAAGUGCUGAAAGCAUCUAAGCACGAAACUUGCCAAGAGAUGAGUUCUCCCUGUCUUUAA